rnacentral:lncRNA from 1 species
CAAACAUACUGAAUCUGAAAUCUUAAAAGCCAAAGCAAUUUCAAUCAUUACAUCCUAAGGAUUUUUAUGUGUGAAUUGAAUUUGUAAAUGAACAACUAAACUAACGCAUUAUAAACCACAAAGUGCCCGAUCUUACACUAAUACAUACAUGCAGUCCAUUUUGGAUUCAAUUUCUGACUCGUAGCUUAUUCUAAGUCUAACUUUCAAAUGUCCAUGAUAGCAAAUCUGAAUUGACUUAUACUACAACUGACAUUUCUAAUACUACUCAUAAAAGUUUUAAUGUCUAGUUAUUAGUACUAACGAAUAUCAUAGAUCUCAAAAUCAGUUUCCAGUUCAAGCUAUUCUCUAAUUUUAAAAGUUAAACUACCACAAUAAAAACAAACUAAACUAUACUAAGGCUAAUGAAUAAUCACUAACCUAACAGUCCAAACAGUCCAUUACAAAUCAUAUUAAUUGCAAUAAGAUACAAUAAAGCCAUAAAAAAGUUAGAAUUUACAACAAAAACUCAUGCGUCAAACUUCACUUCAUUUUCUCAACUUGAGAUCUACAUUGGAACGGAUUCAAGGAGUGUACCUGGAAGUUCAAAAUAUAAUAAGAAGAAGGAGAAAUCAUCAGUAGUAGUGAUCAAAUAGCAGUGUGAAACGGCAGCAGUAAGGAGCCGUUCUAGAACCAAACAUCAUCACAAACCCAUAAAUGAACCCAACAACUAACACGUACAGUAAAUAGCAACAAUAACCAGCUCGAACAUACCAGAUUCAACUCAAAAUUGACUCCAGAAGCGUUUAAAACUGAAUAAGUGAACAAAAACAGGAAACCAUUUUGGAUCUUGGAUAAGCCGGAGAUUUGAAUUAGGAGCUAGAAUUCGAAACUAUUGCAAGGAACUUCAAUGGAAUAGUAUUUUUGGAGUUUUUUUUGUUGUUUUUGGUUUUUUGAAGAUUUAAGAUUUAGAAGGAACUCUCACACUCUCAAAUUUCAGCUUUUGAUUUUGAAUUUUAAAAUUCAAAAUUAUCAGUCCUAAAACUUGUGAGACAAGGCAUAUGGCAUGCCUUUUAUAGGCAUAACUAAGGGCUUCUCUCAGAUUUGCAGUUUACACCCUUAGUCCCUAUUUUAUUUUUAAUUUUUAGCUAGUUAGUCCCUAAGGUUUUGACUUGUUUCUCAAGCUUUUAACACUAAGUUGCUGAAAUUCUAACUAAAACCGUCUUCUAGAAGAUUCAAGGAGGUUCUAGUUUCAACUACAGCAUUGUUCUCUAUUUAGAAAUACCUAUACUACCUUUGAUCUUACCCCUAAAUUACAUAACCUAAUCAAACUAAACCCAACCCCUUUUAAAUUGGUCAAGAGAUGACCAUGGUUAACUUUAAGAGAUUUUGGAAAAUUUCAGAAAUAACCAAACGAAUCCCAAUCAAAACCCAAACCAAAAAUUGGACUACAAAAUCUAACUAAACCUAAUUUAGAUUUUAAUUAAUUUCUAGAAUCAGAUUUGCAACAUAGGUCAAACAGAAAGAAGAAACGAACAAGCAUUGAUCAACAACAGAAUCAAGCUAUGAACAGGGAGAGGAAAAUAUAGAAAGCUGAACAACAUAUAUAAGGAAAUUGGGCAAACAAACAUUAAGUCAUAUCAACAAAAGGCAUGAAUCAAUAGAUUACCACUUAACAAAAAAUGAACUAGGUUUAAGCUAGCUUCGUUAGGAGAAAAUUCAAAUAUCCAGUGGAACAAAAACAAACUGGAAAACUUACAAAUUUUAAACUUUGAACAACAGUUGCCCUUUUAAUUUCGACCAGGGGAUGAUAUCAAUCAACAAUUCUUUGUCAAGAACAAUAAAAUAAUAUCAGCUUGUAGUGAAACUAUGCCUAAGACUCGUGGAGAAACAGAAAAGAAACUGUACCUGCUCAGGUUCUGGACUUUACAUUGGAGAUUCGAAAAGUUUGGGGAACUUUUGAAGGGAAAUGAGUGUGCAUUAGUGAUGUGGGGGUAGAGGUGAGGAUAUGGUGUAAAUUUUGUAGGGAUUGGGGACGGAACCGCCGUACACGGCGGAGGCGGCAGCUAGGUUUCAUGGGUUCGAGGGUAUUGGUUGGUAUUUGGAAAAAACCAGUUAUAGAUCCAUGGUGAGGAGAAGAAUACAAUGCUAUGGUAUAAUUUUAGGGGCUGUUGGAGCUUCGCUGCCGCCGUGGGCGAUUUAUGGCGGCGGUCUAGGGCGGAGCCGGUGCUAAGGUCUUAUUAGGGGUGUGAGAGAGAUGACCGGAUAGGGGGGUGGGGUGGAGUUCGGACGUAUAUAUAUUAAAGCCAAACCACUUC